UGGGGAAUAUUGGACAAUGGGCGAAAGCCUGAUACAGCCAUGCCGCGUGUGUGAAGAAGGUCUUCGGAUUGUAAAGCACUUUAAGUUGGGAGGAAGGGCAGUAAGCGAAUACCUUGCUGUUUUGACGUUACCGACAGAAUAAGCACCGGCUAACUCUGUGCCAGCAGCCGCGGUAAUACAGAGGGUGCAAGCGUUAAUCGGAAUUACUGGGCGUAAAGCGCGCGUAGGUGGUUCGUUAAGUUGAAUGUGAAAGCCCCGGGCUCAACCUGGGAACUGCAUUCGAUAAUGGUUAGCUAGAGUGUGGGAGAGGAUGGUAGAAUUCCAGGUGUAGCUGUGAAAUGCGUAGAGAUCUGGAGGACUACCGAUGGCGAAGGCAGCCAUCUGGCCUAACACUGACGCUGAGGUACGAAAGCAUGGGGAGCAAACAGG
rnacentral:rRNA from 1 species